rnacentral:rRNA from 1 species
GCAGUAGCCGCGGUAAUACGUAGGGUGCGAGCGUUAAUCGGAAUUACUGGGCGUAAAGCGUGCGCAGGCGGUUCGUUAAGACAGAUGUGAAAUCCCCGGGCUUAACCUGGGAACUGCAUUUGUGACUGGCGAGCUAGAGUAUGGCAGAGGGGGGUAGAAUUCCAUGUGUAGCAGUGAAAUGCGUAGAGAUGUGGAGGAAUACCGAUGGCGAAGGCAGCCCCCUGGGCCAAUACUGACGCUCAUGCACGAAAGCGUGGGGAGCAAACAGGAUUAGAUACCCCAGUAGUCCCUGUCUCUUAUAC